AAUAAAGGAUCAUCUUCGAGCAUUGCUAGAGUCCAAACAGUCCCAUUCUCCCCAGGACAAUCAACCUUGUAAUUUAAAAGCUCACUGUUAUUUGAUAGCAGCGUUGAGUUGCAAUUGUAAAGCAAGAAGAGGCCUUUACUGUUAGAAGAUCGAUGAAACUUGCCAUCAUCUAGAGAUAUGUUUUGUAUUUGAGGAGUACAGGAGGCGCUUUUGCCAGAAACAGCUGCAUUUGAGACACGAAGAGACUGGUUUUGGUAGUGGAUUUCGUGGAUGAUAUACUCACUAUUGGACAGAUUAAAGACUGGCUUGCCUUUGUCGUUGCAAGAGAUAUUGAAUCCAGGGUAGCCACAAUAGUCGGGUUGCACGCCUUGGAUAUGAAAUGGGAAGCUUAUGCUUUGACCAUCGCCACAUCUUUCGGGAUUGCAGGCUAGGAACUGAGGGUCUGUACAUGAGGCUUUCUUUGCCAGGAGAAAGAAAGUGACAAUAAAGAGAUUUAUUAUUGGAGAAAAGGGUGUUAAAAAGAAGUUGAGGUUCAUUUUUAUGGAUCUUUGAUUUUGUGGAGGAGAGAGAGAAAGGGAGGAAGAGGAACGAUGGUGAAUAAAUUAUGGGGGAGGAGGGAAUCGAUAUAGCGGGAGUUAUAAGAGGGUGAGUUUGACUUGAUUUUUGCAGAUUUUCUGCCUCUGACAAUUUUUGUAGCCGGAAGCUCGUUCAUAUCUGAUUAGAAAUCGUAGACUGUUGAAUAUAAGGCAAUGUAAGUCGGUGUUGCCCACCUAGAGCGUUCAUUGUCAGGAAAGCAGCGCAAGAUGACCAGCAAAAGGCUCCGUGCCCUUCAUCGUCUGGGUUUUAUUAUUAUUAUUAUUAUUAUUAUAAUUAUUAUUAUUAUAGGUGUCCAUUUAUAUAUAUUUUAACUAAUCUUUUAAUUUUAAAAUUAAAAACCAAAAUAAAUUUAUAAUCUAACUAGUUAAACUAUAUCCCUUAAAAUUUGUCUAGCCUUCUUACAACUUAGAAGUGAUAGUUAUAUACUUAGCCAUUAUAGGUUCAUUUAAUUUUUAAAUGUAUCGUAUUAUAUUUCAUUUUGGUACCCUUCAUUUUCAAAAUUCUAAUUUUACCCUUACUUAUAGUUCUUACUAAUCUAAGAUCGUAGUAAUGAUAUCAGUUUAAAGUGUUUUUUUAUUCAAAAUAAAGUUUUUUUAUUUUUUAAAAAAUUAUUUUUGACAUCAGAACACCAAAACAACAUGAAAACAUAAAAAAAUUAUUUUAAACAAAAAAAAUCAAAAUUUGUUAGAUUGUUGUGCAAGAACUUAAUAAGUGUGUGUUUACUAUUGUGAUAUUGAAUACCUUUUAAAAGAUAUUUUUAAAAAAUAUAUAUUAAAUUUUUUUUUAACAUGUUGACUUCUUUUUCUAGUCAUAAAACACUUUUAAUACAUACAUAAUGCAAAAAUAAAUACUGCCAUGAAAACUAUCAAGAUAUGUUUUUAACACUGUCACAACCAAAGCUUAUAGAAAGAAUAUUCAGAGUUACUUGUCAAGAAAAAAAUAACAACAAUAAAAAAUCUUUUAGUUUCUAACUAGUUAUAGGUUUGCACUACAAUGUGGUCAAAUUAAAACUUCUGUUAACGUAGAAAAAAAUAUGCAAAUCAAGAAGAGUUAUAUGGUAUUUUUAUUAAAAUAUUUUAUUUAUCUUGAAUUUAUAAUUAAAUUAUGUGGAAGUUUUUUUAGUGUGAUUCCGUCUACCUGACCUAUUCAAAAGUAUUUUAAUUGACUGGUAAAAUAACUUGUGGAUGAAAUUAAUAUAAAAACAUUUAACCUCACCUUCAUAUCUAACUCAGGUUUAAAAUUAAAUUUUAUGAAAGUUGUCCCAACUUGAUCUAGUCAACUUGGUCGGUCUAGAAAUAAUUUUUCAUGAUGGUAAAAAAUAUUUAAGGAUGAAAUUUAAAAGAAAAAAAUGAUGAAAUUAAUAGGAAAAAAAACUUUCUCAACUCAAUUUUUUUUUCGGAUCUAAAAUUAAAUCAUAUAGAAAUUAUCUCAGUAUGAUCAAGUUAGCUUAGCAAAUCAAAUGUAACUCACAUGAUUGUUAAAAUAUUAUUAUAAUAAUAAUAACAAUAAUAAUGAGAAAAAAAAGGGAUAAAAUUAAAAUAAAAAAAGGGGAUAAUGGAAAAAAAAAGGAAGAAGAAAGAUUAAAUGUUUAGUAUUCAUAUAACCAAAGAAGCUCGUCGUCAGUUCUUAGACGUUUUAGGGUCUGUUUAGUAUUGCGGUUGUUGUUGUGGUUGUGGUUUUAAAAAAGUUGUUUUAUAAAAAAUACUUUUAGUUGAGGUUGGUUUGAAAAAAUAUAUGUUUGGUUAAAACUGUGGUUGAAAUUGAGGCUGAAUAAAAAGUAGUUUAAUGUGCUUGGUUAAAAAAAUGCUUUUCAAAUUGAGGUUAUAAAACAAUUUAAAAAUAUUUUUAAUUUAAAUAUUGUAGAUUUAACUACUAUUAUUACAUUAUGAAAUAAAUAAUAUUGAUAUCAAAUAUUUUUUAUUAUUCAGUUAAAUUAUUUGUAAUGUCAUCACAUACGAAAUAUAUCCAACAAUGACUAUAUUUAUCUUAGUUUCUUAAGCAUGCAACAACAAAAACUGAAUUUUUUGUUACGUCAUCAAGCGAUAUCCUUCUAAUUGUUUGAAUAAAACACAAUUAAAAUAAAAAUAAAAACUGAAUUUUUUUUAGCUGGGUCGGACCGGGCAAGAAUAUAAUUGGAAUUGCGAUCAAAUUUCACAAAUGCUACGUCAUCAAGCGAUAUCCUUCUAAUUGUUUGAAUAAAACACAAUUAAAAUAAAAAUAAAAACUGAAUUUUUUUUAGCUGGGUCGGACCGGGCAAGAAUAUAAUUGGAAUUGCGAUCAAAUUUCACAAAUGCUACGUCAUCAAGCGAUAUCCUUCUAAUUGUUUGAAUAAAACACAAUUAAAAUAAAAAUAAAAACUGAAUUUUUUUUAGCUGGGUCGGACCGGGCAAGAAUAUAAUUGGAAUUGCGAUCAAAUUUCACAAAUGUUACGUCAUCAUGCGAUAUCCUUCUAAUUUAUGUAGUGUUAUUAAAUAAUAUUAUAUACUAGUUUUUCGAUUAAAACUCAAUUUAAAAAAAAAAAUUACAAUUUCAUUACGUAUAAAAUUUAUUCGAUAAGAACUAUAGUUUUUAUAAUUUUUUGAGCGUAUAAUAAAAUUAGAUAAAAUAUUAUCAGGAAUAAAAUUGAGAUUAUAGUUCGAGUAAAUUUAAUUCACCUUAAAUUAUUUUUUUAACAAAUAAAAAAAAUAUUAUUCACGUUCACGAGUGAAAUCAAUUAAUUGCGUUGAUUUAAAAAAAAAAAUCUCAGGUGAACAGUGCGAGUGAAUUAAUUCACUCGCACUAGUUUUCGAAAUUUAAAAAAAAAAAAACUGCUACAGUGAAGCCAUGCUCCACUGUUGAGUUUCAGACGAGCAGCAAAUUUUGCUGCUUCUCAUAAACCACAGGUUUUAUAUGGGUCCUACCCACUAAAAAUAGUUUCUCUCUGCUUACCAAACAUGAAUUAACGUGCCACAUUUUAUCUGGCAACACACGUUAGUUGACUUGCAAAAGUCUAGUAAUUAAGAUGGACAGCAGGUGGGGUAGCCCUGCGAAAUUUACAUGUUAGAUAUAACAUGUAAAAGUCUGUUCGGUAGGUGAUAGCACCAGCCCAGUAAAGUUGCAGCUGGUAUUUGAAAGACUCCUUCCCACUGGCUAGCAAAUCAAAGAGAAGUUGACCUAUUGACUUUUCAAAGUCUUCUUCCCAAAUACGUACCACACAAUAUCGACAAAGACUUCUUUGCAGCUUGUUAUAAAAGCACGUGUAAUAUCAAAAAAGCCAAGAUAUAAUUUUGUUUUUAUGUUUUAAAAGUUUUUUUAAAAGAAAUUAAAAUGUUUUUACUUUUCCAAGGAAAAGAAGACUUCAGCGACGUAUUUUUCCAAGUCUAUUUUCCAGCAUUAAAUUCCACCGCCAACCAUAAUUAUAUUCCCUUUACUUGAAUACCUAACGCUUCAACCAUAAAAAAUGACAGACUGCACUUUAUACUAUAUUAUUAUAUAUAUAUAUAUAUAAGCUAAAACUAAAUAUGGUUGUUCUGCCAAAGAUUUUUUUUUGGAAAUUUUGUGUAUUUUUUUACAGAAAUAAUUACAAAACUCUUAUUUGUAUCUGAAUUUCACUUUCCCUUUAUAUUUCUAUAAAUUAUAUUUUUUAUUGUAUAGUUUAUAUCUUCAAUAAUAUUACUUUACGUCUUUAACAUUAUAUUUUGUUCGAGUUUUUUGUUUGCCCAAAAUUAAAAGUAUAAUUUAUAAAAGUACACGAGAGAAAAUGAAAGUUAGAUCAAACUAUAGAAUCUAUUAUUUCUUUUUUUUACAUUUUGGUUCUUGAAGUUAAGAAGUUGUAUGCAAAUAUCCCUAAACUUAAUUUCUCUUACAACAAAGUCCCUCAGUAUUGAGGGAGGAAAGAGAAUACUGGAGAGGCAGGAAGGUUUGGUUUUUUUUGUUUCUAGAAGGCCUUAGAAAGGAUUUUGAGAUUCAAAAUGGUUUUUACCAAAUGAUUGGCUGGUGUUUUUAGGUAUAAAAAAAAAAGUAUGUGAAGGGCCAAAAACAGCAAACCCCAUUUGUUCGGUGACAAAAUGAUCAUCGAAAGUUGCAUGCGGUGGACAGCACGUCACUCCUUGCAAACAACGCGUCAUCCACUUUUGUUUGAUUUUUUUAAGAGUUCCUGGGCCAGGCCCGUCCAGCCUAGGAGUUCAGCAAUCAGGCCCAUACAUGCAGACCUAUUGUGUGCCCAACCCGGCUUUCUUCUUCUUUCAAUAUUUAUGAUUUUUUCAAUCUCAAUUUUUUUCAAGAAAUUAAUUGUUUUUCACAUCCAGUCUAAGCAUUUUUGGUUGUUGUCCAUUCUUGCCUCCUUCCAAUUACUGAUUUUCUUAAUUAGAUUUUAUUAAGUGAUAUGGAUGAUUGGUUGCAUGUUUGCCCUUUCAUUCAUCAAAAUCAAAAAUAUUUAUAAUAUGUAUUUAAUUUAAAAAAAAAAAACAUGAUAUCAAAUACUACAAAAUAAAUAUUCAAUUAAAAACUUCCACAAUUCAUGUUGAUUUAUUAUAAUUUCAUUAACUUAAAUUCUUUAACUAAUUGAAAUAUUAUAUAGAUCUUAAAGACUUGCCCGGACGAGUCUGAACAAAGAUGGGAACUGGCAUGUUGAAGCAAAUGGAGAGCAUAAUACUUUCCAGUUCUUUUCUAUUUUUCAGUUCAUAAACUAGAUGUCUUGGGGUUACUACUAAGAAACAGAAUCUGAAGCUGCUUGCGCUCGAUUAGGGAUGAAUCUACUUCGAAAGCUUUGCUUCACUGUUCUGGUUCCGUGGUUGCUAAUUAGAGGAUUAGAAGUGAAAUAUAAGUUCUGCCUUUCCAAACACAAUCAAUAUGUAGAAAGCAGAAGAACAAGGGCAUCAAAAAAAAAUAUGAGCCAUGAUUUGAAGCCUGAAUAUAAACACUAGUGAUUUAACCUCCAGUAAUUAUAUGGACUCCCUUAUACAUAAACUCGCCAAUGCUGUGCCUAGGAUUUAAUUUUUGGGUGUAACAAAACGACGACAAGGAGAAGGUAACGUACAUUUGCACUCAAACCAGGUAUUAGCCAUGCUCUAAUCAGCCAACUUGAAAGUAAGCAGCAUGGAGGAAGAAAACUUAAACGCUUUCAUUAGGUGUAGUAGAAAUACUACUGGCCCAUUUAGCGGUAACAGAAACCGGUGAAGGUGGCAGACGGAUGUUCUUCAAUAGACCAGCCUCAUCGCAAUAGGGUGGUGAAGGUGGUGGCAGUGUGUUCUUCGACCUCUUGUUAUCGUCAUGCACUUCUUCAAGAUUCUCCAAGGACUCCCCGCCUUGAAUUGUUUUUAACUGCUGCAAAACAUUUUCCAUGGAAAGUCUUGUUUCCUUGUCUUGCUGCAAACAUUGAAAAGUCAACUCUGCAACCGAUGUUGUCGUUCUUUUAACUCCCUCGUCUGAAUUAUACCCAAGACGUGAAUCAAUCAGCUCGUCAACUGCACAUUUCUGAAUCUUGCUUAUUGCUAAGUUAGAAAGAUUCUCCAUGGACUCCCCGCCUUGAAUUAUUUUUAACUGCUGCAAGACAUUUUCCAUGGAAGGUCUUAUUUCCUUGUCUUGCUGCAAACAUUGAAAAGCCAACUCUGCAACCGAUGUUGUCAUUCUUUUAACUUCCUCGUCUGAAUUAUACCCAAGACGUGAAUCAAUCAACUCAUCAAAUGCACAUUUCUGGAUCUUGCUUAUUGCUAAGUUAGAAAGAUUAAUCUCAUGCCGGUGCCUGGUUAUAUCAACAGCAGGCAUUGAUGAUAUGAGCUCAAUCAAGACAACCCCAAAGCUAUAGACAUCGCUCUUAUCUGUAAGUUGGUAGCUUUGGUGAUAUUCAGGGUCAACAUAGCCUGGAGUCCCUUGUGGAACAGUCGAGACGUGAGUAACGUCUUUGGGAAACAACCUGGAAAGCCCAAAAUCUGCAACCUUCACGCUGAAAUUGUUGUCAAGGAGGAUGUUGUUCGUCUUGACAUCACGAUGUAUGAUGUCAGAAGCAUGAAGGUACGCCAGAGCACUUGCUGUUUCUAUUGCUAUGCUCAUUCGAAUAGGCCAGGUCAGUGGACUGGACUUUGCUUGAUCUCCAUGUAGAUGAUCAGCAACAGUGCCAUUGGAAAUGUAUUCAUAGACAAGUAGCAGCUCUCGGCUGCGUCGUGAAGUGCAUCCAUAAAGGCAGACGAGGUUUUUGUGGUGCAAGCGAGUAAGAAUUUCAAUUUCAUUCAUGAACUGCUUAACCCUUUUAUAGUUGUGUUCAUAUAGGCGCUUAACUGCAACUUCCCGUCCAUCUUUGAGCUUCCCUGGUUCAAAACAAACCCAUUGAUCAAAUUGCUUGAGUUUUAGGAAAGCUUUCCUUUUCUUUUGAUUAGCAGUUUUCUACUGUAGUAUAUUUGAUCUAUCAACACAAACUUUAAACUUUCAUCUUCUUACCAUAGUAAACAGUUCCAAAACCUCCAUCUCCAAGUUCCUUUUCACUAUCAAAAUUAUUGGUGGCUUGCCCAAGUUCAGUAUAAGAGAAGAUGGGGAUGCUGAGGUAAACACCAUCUCCUUCUAGGUCUCCUUUUGAGGAGGGAUCAGAUGAAGAAUUCAUAGAUAACAAGUUUGAGGAAUCACGUCUUUUCUUGAAGCGGCGCAGGUAAAUGUAGGACAACAAAAUUAUUCCCGUGAACAGACAUCCGAUGCCUAAACCUGAUAAAGGAGAGAAUUACUUUGGAUGGCAGAUGAUUUAUACUUUGGAUGACAGAUAACCUUGCAGGAAUCCAUACGUGCUAGAAAUUAUGGAGGUUAUCAUGGAAACAUAUAAAGCAGAGAAAUUUUGGAUUUUGAAUUACCCAAUCCUAGCUUCAAUCCUAGCUUCAAUCCCAGCUUGCCUUUUUCUGCAAAAAGAUUUUCAAAGAAAUAUGAUGUUAUAUGAGGUCGAACAAUAAAACUGAAGUGAUUCAGAACCAAUUAACCUCAGAAAUUAAGGAAUACACACAUACAAAGGUUCAAACCUUGGAAGUUUUUUUCCAAUAUAGAUUCACUGCUGUAGACUGAGUUCUUAUGCGCUGGGAAUGUUUAACGAAGGGCUCUAAAGCUAAAGCUAACUCUAUACGGUUAUGAAAUUUUAAGAACUAUUAGAGCACAAAAUAUAGUGAAAUAUGCAGGCUUGAUCAAUGUAGAUAUGCAAGUCUUUCUGCAUGUGCUAUGUCGUCUAUACCUUCUUUUGCAAUGGAACAAAGAAGUUUUGGCUCUUUAAUCUGGCAUUCUCCUCCUCCACGAUGACAGUGCAUACAGGCAGGAGAUACUAGCACUUCAAGUGUGAACUUGGCAUUGAGCAUUGUGAAUAUGCCAUUGUAGGUUGAUUCCUGUUUCCAGGAAACUGUAUAAGCGAACACCGAGUGUGGUAGAUACUUAAGUUUUUGCAGGGUACAUCAAUUGAAUCUAAUUGGCUUGCAUCUCUGUGAGGGUUGUUGCAUUUGAACAAGGUCAGAUUUGGCAUAAAUUGCAAGAAGAGAAAAGGGAGCCAAGGAGAAGUCAAAUUGCUGAAGGUUUUGCAAUCAUGGGAAAAUUACUGCUGCCAGAGGACUUCAUCGUGAGAACUGAAAUGGUACUGUGUCCAUUCCAACGCCUACGAGAGGAAUUUAGAAUUCAUACCAUCUCCCUUCCCUCUCUAAUUGGAUCUUCUGCGUAUCUUUAUCACAACCAUCAACCAUAAGAAAACCACAGUGCGAACGUGAGGCGUUGGUGAAUGCGAAGUGGAUUUCACCAAGUUUCCCACAAUGAAAGGGCUGGCAAUUUGGAUGGUAUCUAGUUUCUUCUCCAGCGGAGAGAGGAAGUUUGAGGUGAAAAAGAAUAAAGAAUACUAACAGACAAGCAUGCACCAUACUGAGAUUUCCAAUUUAGGAAAUAAAAACAACAGUGACACAAACAAGGAUUAGCUGCUCUUACUCUUAGUAAAAGCUAGGCCUCUGUAGGCUGUACCUCUCCGUUAAUGCAACUUACAGUAUGUACUUAGUUCCUUACCCGAUAGAAACGACAGUUGACUAAGAAAUUUGAUUCAGAAGACUUGUGAAGAUGAACUGAAAUAUUAAAUAUGGUGGGCAGUGGGACACACGUUUGAAAAUAUAGCUUGAAUAUGUAAAAUUUUGUAUUAGUCAACCAACUUCAGUAGAAAUACUUUGCUUUGGCUCUAGAAAAUCCCCACACAUUCAACAUAAUCAUGUGGUGAUAUAAGCUAGGACUUUUUUGCAGCUUGUUAUUAACGUCUAGACUGUUAAGGGAAAAGAUGAUAUGGGAUUGGUUCUCCUAAGAGAAAGGGGAUCAAGAGACAAAGAUGAUGAUGAAACAGGAACUUCACUAUGUGGUUUGCAAGCUUGCAGAAGUUAUCGAUGGUCUUGCAGUAGUAAUAUAAUAGAAAUUGGAGUCAAGAGAGAUUUGGCAUGUGACAAAUAAUUCAAAUGUGGUGAGAUCAUCGAGAAAUCCAUUGGUAAAUUGAGGUCAUAAUCAUCUCUCAAAUGCAAAACUGGUUGAAUUAUGAUAGGGCAAUUCAUGGCCAUCAACUGGUGGCAACAGUUUUGGGUGGUCUUUGUCAGUGAAGCAGAUAAGGGUUAAAGAGAACGGAAUUAAAAGGUUUUCAGAUUGUGGUAAAAUAACUACACAAUGAAGGUCUGAUAAUUCCAGGGUGUCAUGGGUUCUCCAUGGUUCUCUUCUCUUCUUCCCUCUUCCUUGUGUUAUAGAGGCCCGACAUUCUUUUCUUCUUUUUUUUACCCCGGUACGGGAUCUAAUAUCCCAGCAUUUCGAAUAUUGGAACACAGUUGAAAGUAUUAAAGACAGGACAGUUUUGGUGAUCGAACUAAUAACUCACUUCCUCCAUUGAAUCACCAUUUUGUUCAUGCCUAUUAUCCCCUACCUUGUUGGAUCACCAUUUUAACCUGCCUGUUACCUUCCCCUCUAGGCUGGAGAAUCAUGGGAUUGUACCCUAGCAAUUACACUAGAAACAGACUACUAAGCUGACUAAUAUAGGUUUAAUACUAUCUUCUGAGAAUCUGGGACAAAUCAAAUUAUGACAUUGCCUAGUGGUGCCUGGAGUACUGAGGGUAGCAUCUGCCACUAACAAGAGGAAUGGUCUUGCAUAUAUGAUAUCGAUUGCCUGCUAUUUGCAAUGCCAUGUUUCUUAGGGGGGGGCGAUCUUUACCACUUAUUCUAACAAGAUAUUGAUCACUUUGUAACCUGUGUUUUUAUCCUUUAACUGUAUGUAAUUUAGAAUUCAUAAUCCCACUAAAAUGAGAAAAAAUCCUUAAGGGGGGGAUAUGUAGUUAUCUAGACCUAAACGUAAGAGAUCCAGAGAAUGAGAUCAUAACUAAUCCAGAAAGAGUUUGGAACGAGACAAGUAAAAACAUGGAAGCGAGCCAGGCCAUCAUCACAGAAAAUACACUGGUAUCAUCUUCAAACCCACAUCGGCCGCCAGUUCCUUGGCAAUGAGGCGGAGCUAAAAGAAUCGGAGAUGCAAAGGAACUAGAUGGAAAUUCAUCAUCAGACUCUCGGCCGGAAACGUUGUUAUCAAGAGCACGACUUAUUUUAUUACUCGGGAUAUUUCAUCACUUUGUCGGCCUCGUCUAUUAAGCAUUAAUUAAUUUUCAAACCAAAUGAUUAAGUAGUUCUCUUUCGGUGGUCAGACUAUAACGCCUCAUAUAUUUCAAAAAAAAAAAAAUAACUUUGAACAUCAAUGGUCAUAUCUCUUCAUUAGGAAAACCAGUUUGCUGUGAUUUAAAGUUUUCAACUUUGAGGAUCUACAUGCAUAUAAAUGGUCAUAAUUAUUUGAUGCUGCACAAUAUUUUUUUUAUUUUUUUCGCCGCGCUCAUCCUGAGUUUUCAGUACACUUUGUUGAAUAAUUAAAAUCAAGGACUAGUCUUCUGUAAUUUUAGGAUAGAAAUUCAAUAAAUAAUUGCGGGCGUAAGACUAGAGAGUCAAGUCAAAAGCUGUCCCACUGGUAAGGAAAUUCAUUACUCUGACUCGAUGGCUUAUCAGAGAGCUAGAAGAGGUAGCUAAACAAUUGGCAAAGAGUUUGAUUCUUCAUUUCUGGUACGUGUGCUUAUUUUGACCAUUAAUUGAAGAAAAAAUACCUUUGAAUAGGACGGCUAUUCAAGUUUAGAGUUCGAGGUCCCACCUGCGCGCGUUAUGAACAUAGCAGACUAUAUUUUUAAAAAGAUUGGGUUAAAGGUGGAUUUGGUCAUCCUACUCUUGAUUUCUUCUUAAACUGCUUCCUGUAUGAUAUGUUUUCCAAAAGCAUUCCUUGUACUUGAUAUCUUGACUUGUUUCAACGAUGGAGCUCUCUCCCAUGCAGCUAGCACCGUUACUAGCAAUGUCAAAUUUGUUAUUGAAUCCUUUUUUUUCAGAUAAAUUUGUUUCCAAAUCCAUUUUUGUAUUUGUGAAGAUUAAAAUGGUGGUUUGAUGUUAAAAUCAAACAAAUCAGACCAGAAAACCAAAGCUUUUUUUUUUUUUAAGAAAUGGAUCGAAGAUGACUGGUUAAAAAUGAAGGUGGCCUGAAAAAAAAAUGAAAUAUAUGUUUUGUUUUUUCUGGCACUAAACCAAUGAUUUUGUUCAGCCAGUUCUAUACUGAAUGGCUGUUAAAAAUGAAAAAAAAGAAAAAGAAUAAAAAUGGACAGCGUGAGUUAGGGUGAUAGAAGAUCCACAUGAGGCAAUAUCGAGUACGUUCAAGGAUCCCGCUAGGAAAAAAAUCAUUGAGAAACCAAUGAAAGAUAAAAAUCAAGAGGAGACUGCAUGAACCCUUUAACGUUCAAUAAUCAUAGCGAUUCUUGUUAAUUUUAGAGAAUUAGAUUUAUCCAGCCAAGUCCACCUGACCGAUCCCUUAAACGGGUUCCUUUUUGCCUAAACAGCCCCUACCUACAGCACUUUGUUCUUGGUGUGUGUGUGGUAUUGGUAUCUGUCACUGUUCAUCAAAGAAUUCGCUAGCCUAGCAAAGAUGAACCUCAUCUAGACAGUGGAAAGAAGAGAGAUGUUUUGAGUUUUGACCAUGGUUGUGUGGACAUAACGAUCCCAGCACGACACACAACCGGCACUUAUCUUAGCCAAAACACACAAGUGGGCAAUGGGCCUAUACCAUAUACUAGCCAUCACUCUCGAGAAAGAGAUAAAAUUUCAAGACAGGAAAAAAAUUAAUAAUAAAAUGACUCACCGGAAUAACACUGCUUAGAAUGAGGUCUGUCAGGGCAGAAACAUUUGAAAUGGUACGUGGCGGCGUCAAAUCCACAACUUGCCACCGCUUUCUUGAGUGCUACAAUUACUUGCUGUCCAAUUCAACACAAAUCCUUCUUCUAGCAAUAGCAUACUUUCAGUCCCAACAUUCUCCUCUAUCCACAGGUGCCAAAACUCGAGUUCCACAUUUGUCUAGAGUAGAACCCAAUAAAGGAUCAUCUUCGAGCAUUGCUAGAGUCCAAACAGUCCCAUUCUCCCCAGGACAAUCAACCUUGUAAUUUGAAAGCUCACUUUUAUUUGAUAGCAGCGUUGAGUUGCAAUUGUAGAGCAAGAAGAGGCCUUUACUGUUAGAAGAUCGAUGAAACCUGCCAUCAUCUAGAGAUAUGUUUUGUAUUUGAGGAGUACAGGAGGGGCUUUUGCCAGAAACAGCUGCAUUUGAGA
rnacentral:lncRNA from 1 species